UCUAGCAUGUGCGCGAGUCAUUGGGACUUUUUUUCAGGAAAGCCCAGAGGCGCAAUGAAAGUGAAGAUCGGCCUUUUCGGCUUGAUCGAGGGAGGAUGGCUCAUUGUUAUUUUUUUAUGAUGACGGGCUCGCACUCCCGGGGCGUCUCGCGCUCAUUUCGAGCGGAGGCGCACCCAGAGCGUACACGCUGGGACCCGAAAGAUGGUGAACUAUGCCUGGUCAGGACGAAGUCAGGGGAAACCCUGAUGGAGGUCCGUAGCGAUUCUGACGUGCAAAUCGAUCGUCGGAACUGGGUAUAGGGGCGAAAGACUAAUCGAACCAUC
rnacentral:rRNA from 3 species